rnacentral:pre_miRNA from 2 species
UUAUGGUGUCAUGACCAUUGCUGACCGUCCAAAUAAUCCCUGCAAUUGAUUUGCAGCUUAUGCGAGGAUUAUACGACGGUCAGUAGAGACCUUUGACAUCAAAUA